UGCCCGCUCAGCACAUGUGAAAUCUCUUUCUCAUUCAUACCCUACAUGCUCUUAUCAGAGAGGAGGCAACUUAGACAAGUAAAGGUUCUGCAAGCACAGAUGCAGCUUCCCACCUGAAGCCACUGCCGACUUCAAGGGCCUGGCUCAGCGGCUGAGGUUCUCAGGAGGAUGUGGCCAGCACAAUGGUUCCAUUAUUGAGCGUUUGAAGCACUCUUUAUUUUUAACUACCCCUCUGGGCUUUUGCUAGGCUGUAACCCCUGCCAGGAAGGCUCAGCCCCUGUCCCUGGCUACCUCGCCUUGUUCUUCAAAGUCCAGAGUAAACGCCACCUUCUCCACAACAUGCUUCCUGACACGCCCUGAUGGAGGCACGUGCUAAGUCCGUUCUGAGUGUGUCUGUCCCCACCCUGAGGGCAGUGACCAAGGCCUGGCCCAUGCCCAGCACGGAGCAGGCACUGCCCAGUUGGCCAGGCAGCACACACUGACUUGGGACCUACAGACAAGAGUUCAAGUUCCAGCUCUUCCCUUCAGUGACUAUGUGAACCUGCCUUCUCUGGGCCUCAGUUUACUCAUCAGUAAAACGAGGGUAACAACCCUGGCAAGUUCCAGGAUUGUGCAGUUGGGAGUUGCUGGUCUGGCCUGGUAGAUAAGUGACUCUUUGUGCAAAUUAUUUUGCUUAAAACAUUCUUUGUUGGUAAAGCAGCAACUCAUUGCUUAAUUCCUGCAAAUCAUCGUUAAUGGACAGCAAGCAUUUAUUGACUACCAACUGUAUAUAUGGCCCCAGGCCAGUCUUAGAACACCAACAGGAACCACUUCCCAACCCAAAAGCACCCAGCAGAUGAUAGAUGCUAUUGACGUCAACAUUGCUGAGAUGAACCCGGAACCCCAGUCUAGCCAUGAGAAAAGCCUCAGACAGAUUCUAAUAGUGGGGCAUUCUACAGAACACCAGACUAGGCCAGGCACUGUGGCUCACAUCUAUAAUCCCAGCACUUUGGGAGGCCAAGGCAGGAGGAUCACUUGAGGCCAGGAGUUCAAGACCAACCUGGGUGACAUGGUGUGACCCUAUCUCUACCAAAAAACAAAUUUUUUAAUAAAAUUAGCUGGGCAUGGGGGCACAUGCCUGUAGUCCCAGCUACUCAGGAGGCUGAGGUGGGAGAAUCGCUUGAGCCUGGGAGGUGGAGGCUGCAGUGAGCUAUGAUUGUGUCACGGUACUCAAGCCUGGGUGACAGACUUAGACACUAUCCAAAAAAUAAAAAAUAAAAGGCCAGGCAAGGUGGCUCAUGCCUGUAAUCCCAGCACUUUGGGAGACCAAGGCGGGCGGAUCACAAGGUCAAGCGAUCGAGACCAUCC
ensembl:lncRNA novel transcript